CGGGUGAGUAACGCGUGAGGAACCUGCCUCAAAGAGGGGGAUAACAGUUGGAAACGACUGCUAAUACCGCAUAAGCCCACGGCUCGGCAUCGAGCAGAGGGAAAAGGAGCAAUCCGCUUUGAGAUGGCCUCGCGUCCGAUUAGCUAGUUGGUGAGGUAACGGCCCACCAAGGCGACGAUCGGUAGCCGGACUGAGAGGUUGAACGGCCACAUUGGGACUGAGACACGGCCCAG
rnacentral:rRNA from 1 species